UAUGGCCAUAUCACGUUGAAAUACCGGUUCUCGUACGAUCACCGAAGUUAAGCAACGUCGAGCCUGGUUAUUACCUAAAUGGGUGACCGCUAAGGAAUACCAAGUGCUGUA